rnacentral:rRNA from 1 species
UACGGAGGGGGCAAGCGUUGUUCGGAGUUACUGGGCGUAAAGCGCGCGUAGGCGGUGCGGUAAGUCAGGGGUGAAAUCCCACGGCUCAACCGUGGAAUUGCCUUUGAAACUGCUGGGCUUGGAUCCUGGAGAGGGUGGCGGAAUUCCUGGUGUAGGAGUGAAAUCCGUAGAUAUCAGGAGGAACACCGGUGGCGAAGGCGGCCACCUGGACAGGUAUCGACGCUGAGGCGCGAAAGUGUGGGGAGCAAACAGG